CGGGAUGUGGCGCAGCUUGGUAGCGCGCACCCUUGGGGUGGGUGAGGUCGCAGGUUCGAAUCUUGUCAUCCCGACCA
rnacentral:tRNA from 1 species